rnacentral:tRNA from 1 species
UGGGGUAUCGCCAAGUGGUAAGGCACCGGAUUCUGAUUCCGGCACCCCCAGGUUCGAAUCCUGGUACCCCAG